rnacentral:rRNA from 1 species
AGAGUUUGAUCCUGGCUCAGGAUGAACGCUAGCGAUAGGCCUAACACAUGCAAGUCGAGGGGCAGCAUAGGGUAGCAAUACUUUGAUGGCGACCGGCGCACGGGUGAGUAACACGUAUGCAACCUACCUACAACAGGGGAAUAACCCGGAGAAAUUCGGACUAAUACCCCAUAAUACAGGGAUGCCGCAUGGCAAUAUUUGUUAAAGAUUUAUCGGUUGUAGAUGGGCAUGCGUUCCAUUAGAUAGUUGGUAAGGUAACGGCUUACCAAGUCAGCGAUGGAUAGGGGAACUGAGAGGUUUAUCCCCCACACUGGAACUGAGACACGGACCAGACUCCUACGGGAGGCAGCAGUGAGGAAUAUUGGUCAAUGGACGAGAGUCUGAACCAGCCAAAUCGCGUGAAGGAAGACUGCCUUAUGGGUUGUAAACUUCUUUUAUACAGGAAUAAAAAGAGGGAUGUAUCCCUUAUUGCAUGUACUGUAUGAAUAAGCAUCGGCUAACUCCGUGCCAGCAGCCGCGGUAAUACGGAGGAUGCGAGCGUUAUCCGGAUUUAUUGGGUUUAAAGGGUGCGCAGGCGGGCUUUUAAGUCAGCGGUG